UCAGGACGAACGCUGGCGGCGUGCCUAAUACAUGCAAGUCGAGCGGACCAUAGGGAGCUUGCUCCCGAAAGGUUAGCGGCGGACGGGUGAGUAACACGUGGGUAACCUGCCUGUAAGACUGGGAUAACUCCGGGAAACCGGGGCUAAUACCGGAUGCUUGAUUGAACCGCAUGGUUCAAUCAUAAAAGGUGGCUUCGGCUACCACUUACAGAUGGACCCGCGGCGCAUUAGCUAGUUGGUGAGGUAACGGCUCACCAAGGCAACGAUGCGUAGCCGACCUGAGAGGGUGAUCGGCCACACUGGGACUGAGACACGGCCCAGACUCCUACGGGAGGCAGCAGUAGGGAAUCUUCCGCAAUGGACGAAAGUCUGACGGAGCAACGCCGCGUGAGUGAUGAAGGUUUUCGGAUCGUAAAA
rnacentral:rRNA from 1 species